CGGCACAGCCCCAUCGGCGUGGGGACACGGAGCUGGUGGGAUCGCGCCAUGGCCUUGGCCGCUCUCCUCCUCGCGGUGCUCACCCACAGCUCAGGUUCCCUGGUCCAGGCAGCGCUGACUCAGCCGCCCUCGGUGUCAGCGAACCCGGGACAAACCGUCCAGAUCACCUGCUCUGGGAGCAGCUAUGGCUAUGGCUGGUUCCAGCAGAAGGUCCCUGGCACUGCCCCUCUCACUGUGAUCUAUCAGAAUAGCAACAGACCCUCGGGCAUCCCUUCGCGCUUCUCCGGAUCCCAGUCUGGCUCCACGGGCACGUUAACCAUCACUGGGGUCCAAGCCGAGGACGAGGCUGUCUAUUACUGUGGUGGUCGAGAGAGCAGUGCUGCUCAGCACCCAGCGGCCCCCAGCAAGGCCGUGGUUGGGUGCUCUGGGUUGACUGUUCCUGUCUGCUGUACGAGGGUGGCAGCGAUGGUGACGGUGAUGCUGGAGGGGCUGAUGCCCACCCUGGUCUGGUGA